UACGUAGGUGGCAAGCGUUGUCCGGAUUUACUGGGCGUAAAAGCGCGCGCAGGCGGGCUGGUCAGUCUGGGGUGAAAUCUCACGGCUCAACCGUGAGAGGUCCCUGGAUACUGCUAGCCUUGAGGGCUCAGAGGAGAGUGGAAUUCCGGGUGUAGUGGUGGAAUGCGUAGAUAUCCGGAGGAACACCAGUGGCGAAAGCGGCUCUCUGGUACGUGACUGACACUGAGACGCGAAAGCGUGGGGAGCGAACAGG
rnacentral:rRNA from 1 species